AUCGAACGCUGGCGGCACGCCUAACACAUGCAAGUCGAGCGGCAGCGAGAGUGGUAGCAAUACUACUUGUCGGCGAGCGGCGGACGGGUGAGGAACACGUAGGAAUCUACCCAGAAGAGGGGGAUAACCAAGGGAAACUUUGGCUAAUACCGCAUAAACUCGAGAGAGGAAAGCUGCCCGUAAGGGCGGCGCUUUUGGAGGAGCCUGCGUCCGAUUAGCUAGUCGGGAGGGUAAGAGCCUACCAAGGGGAGGAUCGGUAACUGGUCUGAGAGGAGGACCGGUCACACUGGGACUGGGACACGGCCCAGACUCCUACGGGAGGCAGCAGUGGGGAAUAUUGGACAAUGGGGGAAACCCUGAUCCAGCGAUGCCGCGUGAGUGAAGAAGGCAUUCGGGUCGUAAAGCUCUUUAGGUUGGGAAGAAGGGUGUUGAGCGAAUACCUCAGCACUUUGACGGUACCGACAGAAUAAGCACCGGCAAACUCUGUGCCAGCAGCCGCAGUAACAC
rnacentral:rRNA from 1 species